UUAGUAAUAUGGAGGUGUCUGCCCUGAUAGCAGACUACUCCGAUCCGGAUCCGUUUUACCUCCGGCAGAUCCGCGCUACAGUCAGGUCUGUUUAGUGGAUCUGGUCCGGCUUCACUCCGGGUUCGGGUUAUGAUUGUGACUCACGUUCAGAUCCGUUUUACUGACGGUAAAUCCGCAUAACAGUCCGUCUCAUUUCACGCCUUCCAUAUGACUUCGGCACGGAGUCAGAUACCAGAUGUGAGUUCAGUGUCAGUUCAGUGUCGUUUUGCGGAUCCGGGCCGCAUCGGCGGAGCGGCACAGGAGCGGGAGAAAUUCAAACUCAGCGCGAGGACCAACUGACAUCUUCUGAAUCUGCGCUUCAGGUGUAAUCAUUUACCCAUCAAAUCACCUAACAAGGAUCAGCCUGGAUCCUAACAGUACUUGAUGCACUGAGCAGUGACAUUAUACAUAGAGUAGUUAAGCAGGAUUUGGUAUCCGCAAAAUGGUUAGAGGUCCUCAGCCCUUGCCUCCCCCAGCACAGAGGAAAACUACCAAGGGCGGUACUCUCAUUAUAGGAGAUUCAAUUGUUAGACAUUUAAAAGUAUCUAAGAGUAAUGGCACAAUUUCAUGUCUUCCAGAUGCUUGCAUGCUGGUAGUCGGCAAGCGGCUCCCUGGGGCGCAUUGCCAAAGCAGGAACCCCGGCACCAUCGCCCUCCACGUGGGGAUGAGCUUUCGGGAGCGACCGGCCCCGUUCCACAGAGACAGGCUUCUCUCUGUGAACAUCGAGGCGGUGCUACGCUGAGACUGACUGUCUCUACCCAGUCACACCAGCCAAGCUGCACUGUAGUGGUGUUAAGUGUCCAAGAAUGCUCUCAUCAGUGGAGGCACAGCUGGCUGCAAAAAACGUCUGUGUCUGCAUGUUUAUAUUAUGUGAAUUAAAAAUGGUUUUAUUAUUAAAAUAAUUGUAUUAAUGCCUGUUGAUUUAUAAAUUGUUUAAUUGAAAUCAAAUUUUAUUUAAGUAGCUUAAUUAAGUAUUGCAUUUAUAACUGAUGGUAUUUUAUUUAAUUAGCUUAAGUAUUGCAUUUAUAAGUGAUGGUAUUUUAUUUUAAUUAGCUUAAGUAUUGCAUUUAUAAGUGAUGGUAUUUUAUUUUAAUUAGCUUAAGUAUUGCAUUUAUAAGUGAUGGUAUUUUAUUUUAAUUAGCUUAAGUAUUGCAUUUAUAACUGAUGGUAUUUUAUUUUAAUUAGCUUAAGUAUUGCAUUUAUAAGUGAUGGUAUUUUAUUGAAUUAGCUUAAUUAAUAUUGCAUUUAUAAGUGAUGAUAUUUUAUAUAAUUAGCUUAAUUAAGUAUUGCAUUUAUAAGUGAUGGUAUUUUAUUUAAUUAGCUUAAUUAAGUAUUGCAUUUAUAACUGAUGGUACUUUCAUUAAUUAGCUUAAUUAAGUAUUGCAUAUAUAAGUUAUGGUAUUUUAUUUAAUUAGCUUAAUUAAGUAUUGCAUUUAUAAUUAUUGUAUUUCAUUUAGCUAACCUAAUUAAGGAUUGCAUUUACAACUAAUGUUUUUUUAUUAUAUUAUUUAAAUAUUGCAUUUGUAAUUUAAUGUACUGUAUUAAACUCUUUUAAUUUAUCAAUGUAAAAAAGAAGUAAAAUAGCUUAGUGCUCUUUCUUUACUACUUUUAUUUUGAAAUAUGUCAUUAUAAUCAUUAAUAAGUAGGCUGGGGAACGUGAAAAGGCCGUGGCUUGGCCGUAGCUAAUACGGAACUAAUCCGGGGCUGAUCCAGAUCUGUAACGGACCUGUUCCAGCGAGUGUAACGGUAAGCGGAUCCGGCGCGGAUCCGGCCCAUAUUCGGUCUAAAGGAACACCUGAAACGCUUGGUCUGGACUGGUGCUGGCCUAGUAUCUUUUUGACUCCGUAAAACGGAUCCGUGACGGUUUUGGCCCGUUGUGCAUCUGGACCCCGGCCCAGAACCGUUUUACGGAUCCGGCGCGGAACUUGUGAUAGACUCGGCCCGGAUCCGGCCAGAAUGCUUUUUGCUAUCUGGGUGCU